UCCCUAAAAAUCAUGCAAGCACGAACUCAUCUCCCUUCCCUUUCCCUAUGAUCAAGUAUCCCUACUGCUCAAAGUGCGAAGCACUGCCACCGGAUGCUCAUGUCUCCUCGUCCUUCAUGUCGUGUUCUUCCACCAUGGCCAUCGGACUAUAUUUUUUAAAACCGAACGGGCAACUGAACCGUUGCGUCUGUCACCGGUUGAACCGCUGGUUCAUCGAUUUGUUCGUGACAAAAAAAAAACAAGUUACUAAAAAUAACCUUAGAUCAAAUGAGUACACAUAAUAUUGGAUGUAAUAUAAACAUAACCAGCCAGGUCACAGGGGCAGAGACAUUUUAACUCACCUUCCCUUUAGUUGCCAAUUUGAAGGGAGGGAUCGAAUUAUGUUGUGUUUAUGGCCAAUUGAGCGGUCCAUGAGCGAUCAAUUUAAAAUACAUAGUGAUAACCUGGCUUCUAAUGUAAAUAAUAAUCCAAUUCUUUUGCAAUUGGAUACCCAAAUUUAGCAUACUGCACAUUCAUCUCUCUUAUCGUCAGUGUUUGAUUAUGCAAAAAUAGGUUCAGCAUGUAAAAUCAAGGCUCUCUGCACACAAUUUCUUGGGAAGAGACAAUAAACCUUUGCAUCAUUCAAAUGUCACAGGUGACUUGUUUUAGUUUGGGAUCUUGAAAGAAUCAAACCAACAUACCUUUCCCGGCAACAGUCAGCAGUGGUAAGCAUGUGCCGCUGGAGCCCGACCAACUUCCCUUGAUCCCAUUUAUUGUCUCCUAUCCACGGCAACAAAGUGAAAAAGGUUUCAGCGGACUUAGUCGGGCAUCCACGAUCAGGUUUUAGAGGGAGAAGACUCACCACCUGCUGGCAAGGUCGGGACCGUGGUCGUCCGUCUCCGCUUUGCCGGCCGAUAAGAUCAUUGAUAUUGACCAGCCAGCUGAGUACUCAUCACCUUGCUCUGCUGAAUCACCUUGAGGCUAUCGUUGGUGCUCCGUGAGGCCUGCGGUCGGGAUCUAAAGUCCAUGAUUUGCUGUUCGGUUCACCAUAGUGACCAGCGAACAGUGUCAGGAGAAAAAUGUCGCUUUACGAUCAAGACGGUAGAAUAAAUCGAGAUUAUUUCCAAAUAAAACGAACAAGAAACUUCAUGCAUCUACGUGAACAAAAUUAUAAUCAGCAGGGAACAUAAUUAUAUUUGACAGAAGCCUCAAACUCGAUUGAAAUCACAACCGGUACAAUUUUCUAAGUUUGGUCUUCACAACUAUACAAAAGAAGAAGAAUAAAUGUAUACCAUCAUUUCAAAUCCAAGACAAUAUUAUCAAGGUUAAGAAAAAUCGAAUCACAACAGUCCACUGCAAUGAAUUCUCAAAAUAUCUUGGAAUUACUCUGCUUCGCGUUAUUUAGUAUGCUUGUUCUCCUUCCCAUAGAGUGUCCGUUGAUUCAGCUAGUUGGUGAUUGUUUUUAGUCCAUAGUAGCAAAUUUGUUGCACAUGCUGCAUGCAUGUAAAAAAACAAUGCACGGUGCUGUUUUUUUGUCUGUGAAUCGUGUGCACAGCCCACGACAACAUAACUGAAGACAUACUAAAUGCUUUCUAGUUAACUCUUCAAAUGACUAAUCAAUACAGUAAGUCCUCACUGCAUCUCUAGGUAGGAACCGAAUAUCCCGGUCUGUUUUCUCUACCAGUUCAGAUCUCGCAAAAGUAGGGAGUACGAAAAAUAUAGCAGAAGGGAUAACCUGAAGUAGCUAUUAUGAACCAAGCAUCAUAUAUAUCAGCUGCCCAUUAAUGGGUAGUUCGUGCAAUGUGCACAAUUUCUAUUCAAGUAAUAAAAGUGAUGGAAGACCUCAAGUACGUUCAACCCAGAUUACUUACACAUGCAAUGCACUUGCCAUCAAUCGGGCUUAAAAUUUGUUCAUAGGAGACGGAGAUAUCGGGUUAGAACUUCCCUUGUUUUUACAUUGAUUUUAGGAUGGAUGCAGUAGUAGGGCUCUCUUGAAUCUAGAUGAUGUGCAGGUUAGGUGUGGCUGUGAAGGAGAUCUGUGAGUUCUUAAUAUAAUCAUGAAAAAUAGGAAGCUCUUAAUAUAAUCAUGAAAAAUAGGAUGCUCUAGUUCACAAGAAACCAAAUUGGCUCUUAUAAGCCGAUCGAUCGGCACAAUCAAAACAGCUGUUAAAUUAACAACAAAAUUGAAGGUCAUGGCUUUGUUGGAGCAAAGAUCUAAUCUCCACAUCUUGAAUAUGUGGGAACCAGAUUAGGAUGACAAUGUCCUACAAAUUCAAUACUUCAUUUUUCUGUGAUCAAUGCAAAUGUCUUCUAUGGGCUUCUGGCUACUUGUUGGCAGCAAUAGUAGGUUGGUGAGCAACUGAGCCUGCUUCCUUGUUUAGAUAUUCAGACCAGCACAUGGAAAGGCUGAACAAGUAUACUUAUAUAAUACUAACAACCUGUCAGUACCAGGGUAAUAUUUGUUGGUGAAGAUGCCUGAAAACCAAAGUUGUGAGUCUAGCUUGUUUCCUCUUGCAUCAUCUGUGUGGAGGUCAUGGCUUUCCAUACAGCAGAAUAGGGCUAAACUCCACACCUUCAACCAACCAGAGAGAGCUAGUUAGGAAAGGUGGUUAUAAUGGCGUACUGGAAGCUCAACUCUUCUUUGUCUACACUAAUGUACUAUUUAACUACUUGGGCCCAGAUGCAUACAAAAAUUGAAGAUGAAAGGUUAGGCAGAUGCAAAUGAGGUUACAGUACAUUAGGAAAAUUCACUGCCACAACGGACCUGCUAUUUUGAAACUUAUGUUUGGGACUGUAUAUGCCAAUAUCUUCAUAUCAUGUGCAGCAGCCUCUUCAAAUUGCUAGUAUCGUUGACAUGAUUUGUGAAAGAGUCCUACAGGCACAAAUUAUUGAUGCAGUAAUAAGCUAAUCAAGUUUUGUCCAGCCCGUGGCUGCAUCCACGUUGCCGCUGCUAUUGCCGGCGAAGUAUAGCAAAAGAAUCUGCGUCAUGUAAGUUGCAACUCGCACAAUCUCGUCAGGAGGCUUGGGAGCAGCAUCGUGAACGACAGUGCGAUGACAGUCUGCCUGAUGGAUAACCUCAGGGUGCAGCCAAGGUGCUUGUGACGCGCUCCAUCUCCUACUCGUCAAAAUCGCCGCGCUGCUCCUGCGCCGA
rnacentral:lncRNA from 1 species